CUUUUCAGUUUUUUUUUUUUUUUAGCUGGAUUUGGUCUGUGCAAUGGUAAGUGUACUGGCCUAUUUUCAGCUAUGUUGUAUGUGCUAGUUCUGAUAAUCAUUUCACUUCCUCACUGACUAGGUCAUUUGUCUGCCAAGAGUGAUGUCUAUAGCUUUGGAGUUGUUUUGUUGGAGAUGUUAUCUGGAAGGAGAGCAAUUGAUAAAAAUCGGCCGUCCGGAGAACACAAUCUAGUGGAAUGGGCUAAACCCUAUCUGGCAAACAAACGAAAGAUUUUCCGAGUCCUGGACAAUCGUCUUGAAGGGCAGUAUUCAAUGGAUGUUGCCUAUAAGGCAGCUACCCUUGCACUGCGUUGCCUAUCCACAGAACCCAGGUUCCGGCCAAACAUGGAUGAGGUUGUGACAUUGUUGGAACAGCUCCUUGAUUCCAAAGAAAUUGGAAGCGCCAACACCCCUUCAAGCAAUGCAUCCAGAAUUCGUAGACGAAGUGCAGAUGAUGCUAGUAGUGGAAGGACUGCAGCUGCUUAUCCUCGGCCCUCUGCUUCCACUCUUUAUAUUUGAAAACAGAACAAACUUGAUUAAACUUAUGUUUAUAUCUCAAUACAAAUCAGGGGCAUUCAAGUUGACUUGUCCAAUGACUGUACAGUUUCAUGGUUCGGCUAAUGUAAUUUAAAUCAAACUUCUGAUGACAAAGUUUCCAGGUCAACCUGUAACUUGAGUUCACACGUUGUUACGUCCUUAGAUCAGGGAUGCAAUUGCUCUUGUAUGAAGAUUACGAGUUAGUCCUUUUUCUUUCCCAGCCUGGCUUCUUCUGUUGGAUAUAUUUAAUAUUAUUUAGUAUAGUUUUUUGUUUUUUUUUUCUCAUAUGGAUCUGUAAUCAUCCUUUAGAUGUACUAUUGUUUCAGAUAAUAGAUCAGUAG
rnacentral:misc_RNA from 1 species